GGGUGCGAUCAUACUCGUACUAAUGCACUAGAUCCCAUAAGAACUCCGUAGUUAAACUUGCUUGGGCGAGAGUAGUACUAGGAAGGGUGACCUCUUGGGAAGUCUUCGUGUUGCACCCC